GACCUAGGAUGCUUCUAGAGAUGAAAUGCUGUAUGGCCAGAGAGCUUCUUCACCAGUUGGUUGAGUUUGGCUUUUCUUUCUGUAUGUGACUAUUGGUCUACUUGUGAAUUCUCUACCUAGUAUUGCCAAGGACCUGGCAGAAGCAAUUUUCCUUCUUCAUAUAACAGAACAGAUAACCCUUUUUGUUAAGGCACAACAGGGUUGGUCAGCACUUGCCUUCAUCUAUGCAGUGUGGCUGUAAACACCCAUACAAAGUAGUGAUGCAUCAGUGAUGCCCAGGGAGUGGAAAAAUGUCAUUGCUUUCAUCAUUAUAUCCCAGGCAAAAUAAGGUAAAUAGAAACCAGGGUUUCCAUGGGCCAUCAACGCAUGUCAAGUCAAAAGCUCUUUCUGCUCUGAAAUAUACAGUCCGUUCCCUUUUUGCUACAGCUCUACGUAAGAGACAUGGAACUCAUUUGGAUGCAGUUCAAAUAACAAUGUCACUUUCUGACUGCCUCAAGGAUCUGACAGGAGGAAUUGAGUAUGCUGCCAAGAUAUUAAAUGAAAUUCCCCAGAAAGACAUUCAGUGCACUAAAAGAGCCUCAAAGGCAGAAAGGGAAGGAAAUGGGCAAGGAUGGCUGUGGGCCUGAAGGCCGGCAGCAUGGAUGUUGCAUGACUUACUGCGAUUGCUGCUUUGCUGGCACUCCAGGAUGAACCAAACACCAUCAGAAGCAGUGUGAGCUGUCAGAAUAGGACUGCCCAUAUUUCUUCAACUGGAAGCAUCAACACCUGGUGAUGCACUAGGGUGGUCUUACGGGCCCUUUCAAGGCCAGUGUAUUCUUGUGUCAACCUGAGGAAGCCUGUGACUAGAGCAGCUUGUCCUUAACCAGCAUUGUAUCAUAUUGGCUUAAUUUAUGAGGGCUGUGUGCCAGCCAAUGUUAGCACAACGGUAUGUCAUGGGCACUUACCAUGUAGUUUUAUGUAUGUUGUCACUUCUAUUUCCAGGCCAGUGUUUUCUGCCUACACUGUGGGAUGUUUUUGAGGCUGUCCUGGAAGCACUUACAGGGAUUCCCACACUUUUUCAGGGAUAGCCAACGAUAUCCUGGGUUAUUGCAGCGAUGAAUAUGCAUCACAGCACUGCAUCAUUUCAAUGGGAACAAGAAGGAGGGAGAGGGAGUGCAGCAGGGACCUCUGAUGCUGCCUUUGCCACCAAGGAGUACACAUUGUGUAACUGCACUCUGAAAAUUAAAUGUUAUGCUUUCAUGCUCUUCUUCUUCU
rnacentral:lncRNA from 7 species